UGUGAGCUGUGAGACAUGCACACCCUUUCAGAGUGAUACUGUGUGGUGGAAGGACUGUUAGAACUCAAAGAAUAGUUAAUAAAUCCAGUGUAUUAUUCCGUUGCGAGAACUGGCCUCUCUUUGCCUUAUCAAGCACUCCUGACCCUCGGCUCCCUUUGGAGAGAUGGACCGAGCCUUUGCCUCCUGUGGAGGCCCCUGCCUUAGUGAGCCUCCGCC
rnacentral:lncRNA from 1 species